GGUGAGGUCGCAUAGUGGACUAGUGCGGCGGUCUUGAAAACCGCUGUCCGCCAAUGGCGGACCGUGGGUUCGAAUCCCACCCUCACCG
rnacentral:tRNA from 1 species